rnacentral:rRNA from 1 species
GAUGAACGCUAGCGACAGGCCUAACACAUGCAAGUCGAGGGGCAUCGGGACGUAGCAAUACGUUGCCGGCGACCGGCGGAUGGGUGAGUAACGCGUAUGCAACCUACCCGUAGCAGGGGGAUAGCCCGUUGAAAGACGGAUUAAUACCCCGUAACACAGGGGCUCCGCAUGGAGAUUAUUGUUAAAGGGUCAUUUCUUUUAGAGGUGGUCCGGCUGCGGAUGGGCAUGCGUUCCAUUAGGUAGUUGGUGUAGGUAACGGCUCACCAAGCCGACGAUGGAUAGGGGAACUGAGAGGUUGGUCCCCCACACUGGUACUGAGACACGGACCAGACUCCUACGGGAGGCAGCAGUGAGGAAUCUUGGUCAAUGGACGCAAGUCUGAACCAGCCAUGUCGCGUGAAGGAGGACGGCCCUAAGGGUUGUAAACUUCUUUUGCAGUGGAAUAAAGUUUGCCACGUGUUGGCGAUUUGCAAGUACGCUGCGAAUAAGGAUCGGCUAACUCCGUGCCAGCAGCCG